UUAAGCGACUAAGCGUACACGGUGGAUGCCCUGGCAGUCAGAGGCGAUGAAGGACGUGCUAAUCUGCGAAAAGCGUCGGUAAGGUGAUAUGAACCGUUAUAACCGGCGAUGUCCGAAUGGGGAAACCCAGUGCAAUUCGUUGCACUAUCGUUAACUGAAUACAUAGGUUAACGAGGCGAACCGGGGGAACUGAAACAUCUAAGUACCCCGAGGAAAAGAAAUCAACCGAGAUUCCCCCAGUAGCGGCGAGCGAACGGGGAGCAGCCCAGAGUCUGAAUCAGCUUGUGUGUUAGUGGAACGGUCUGGAAAGUCCGACGGUACAGGGUGAUAGUCCCGUACACCAAAAUGCACAGGUUGUGAACUCGAAGAGUAGGGCGGGACACGUGGUAUCCUGUCUGAAUAUGGGGGGACCAUCCUCCAAGGCUAAAUACUCCUGACUGACCGAUAGUGAACCAGUACCGUGAGGGAAAGGCGAAAAGAACCCCGGCGAGGGGAGUGAAAAAGAACCUGAAACCGUGUACGUACAAGCAGUGGGAGCACCUUCGGGUGUGACUGCGUACCUUUUGUAUAAUGGGUCAGCGACUUAUAUUCUGUAGCAAGGUUAACCGUAUAGGGGAGCCGCAGGGAAACCGAGUCUUAACUGGGCGUUAAGUUGCAGGGUAUAGACCCGAAACCCGGUGAUCUAGCCAUGGGCAGGUUGAAGGUUGGGUAACACUAACUGGAGGACCGAACCGACUAAUGUUGAAAAAUUAGCGGAUGACUUGUGGCUGGGGGUGAAAGGCCAAUCAAACCGGGAGAUAGCUGGUUCUCCCCGAAAGCUAUUUAGGUAGCGCCUCGUGAACUCAUCUUCGGGGGUAGAGCACUGUUUCGGCUAGGGGGUCAUCCCGACUUACCAACCCGAUGCAAACUACGAAUACCGAAGAAUGUUAUCACGGGAGACACACGGCGGGUGCUAACGUCCGUCGUGAAGAGGGAAACAACCCAGACCGCCAGCUAAGGUCCCAAAGUCAUGGUUAAGUGGGAAACGAUGUGGGAAGGCACAGACAGCCAGGAUGUUGGCUUAGAAGCAGCCAUCAUUUAAAGAAAGCGUAAUAGCUCACUGGUCGAGUCGGCCUGCGCGGAAGAUGUAACGGGGCUAAACCAUGCACCGAAGCUGCGGCAGCGACACUAUGUGUUGUUGGGUAGGGGAGCGUUCUGUAAGCCUGCGAAGGUGACCUGUGAGGGUUGCUGGAGGUAUCAGAAGUGCGAAUGCUGACAUAAGUAACGAUAAAGCGGGUGAAAAGCCCGCUCGCCGGAAGACCAAGGGUUCCUGUCCAACGUUAAUCGGGGCAGGGUGAGUCGACCCCUAAGGCGAGGCCGAAAGGCGUAGUCGAUGGGAAACAGGUUAAUAUUCCUGUACUUGGUGUUACUGCGAAGGGGGGACGGAGAAGGCUAUGUUAGCCGGGCGACGGUUGUCCCGGUUUAAGCAUGUAGGCUGGUUGUCCAGGCAAAUCCGGAUAAUCAAGGCUGAGGUGUGAUGACGAGGCACUACGGUGCUGAAGUAACAAAUGCCCUGCUUCCAGGAAAAGCCUCUAAGCAUCAGGUAACAUCAAAUCGUACCCCAAACCGACACAGGUGGUCAGGUAGAGAAUACCAAGGCGCUUGAGAGAACUCGGGUGAAGGAACUAGGCAAAAUGGUGCCGUAACUUCGGGAGAAGGCACGCUGGUGUGUAGGUGAAGUCCCUGCGGAUGGAGCUGAGACCAGUCGAAGAUACCAGCUGGCUGCAACUGUUUAUUAAAAACACAGCACUGUGCAAACACGAAAGUGGACGUAUACGGUGUGACGCCUGCCCGGUGCCGGAAGGUUAAUUGAUGGGGUUAUCCGUAAGGAGAAGCUCUUGAUCGAAGCCCCGGUAAACGGCGGCCGUAACUAUAACGGUCCUAAGGUAGCGAAAUUCCUUGUCGGGUAAGUUCCGACCUGCACGAAUGGCGUAAUGAUGGCCAGGCUGUCUCCACCCGAGACUCAGUGAAAUUGAACUCGCUGUGAAGAUGCAGUGUACCCGCGGCAAGACGGAAAGACCCCGUGAACCUUUACUAUAGCUUGACACUGAACAUUGAGCCUUGAUGUGUAGGAUAGGUGGGAGGCUUUGAAGCGUGGACGCCAGUCUGCGUGGAGCCAACCUUGAAAUACCACCCUUUAAUGUUUGAUGUUCUAACGUUGGCCCCUGACCGGGGUUGCGGACAGUGUCUGGUGGGUAGUUUGACUGGGGCGGUCUCCUCCCAAAGCGUAACGGAGGAGCACGAAGGUUAGCUAAUCCUGGUCGGACAUCAGGAGGUUAGUGCAAUGGCAUAAGCUAGCUUGACUGCGAGCGUGACGGCGCGAGCAGGUGCGAAAGCAGGUCAUAGUGAUCCGGUGGUUCUGAAUGGAAGGGCCAUCGCUCAACGGAUAAAAGGUACUCCGGGGAUAACAGGCUGAUACCGCCCAAGAGUUCAUAUCGACGGCGGUGUUUGGCACCUCGAUGUCGGCUCAUCACAUCCUGGGGCUGAAGUAGGUCCCAAGGGUAUGGCUGUUCGCCAUUUAAAGUGGUACGCGAGCUGGGUUUAGAACGUCGUGAGACAGUUCGGUCCCUAUCUGCCGUGGGCGCUGGAGAAUUGAGGGGGGCUGCUCCUAGUACGAGAGGACCGGAGUGGACGCAUCACUGGUGUUCGGGUUGUCAUGCCAAUGGCACUGCCCGGUAGCUAAAUGCGGAAGAGAUAAGUGCUGAAAGCAUCUAAGCACGAAACUUGCCCCGAGAUGAGUUCUCCCUGAGACUAUAAGUCUCCUGAAGGAACGUUAAAGACGAUGACGUUGAUAGGCCGGGUGUGUAAGCGCAGCGAUGCGUUGAGCUAACCGGUACUAAUGAACCGUGAGGCUUAACCUU
rnacentral:rRNA from 1 species